rnacentral:rRNA from 1 species
UUUAAGCUCGACCUCAUAACUGCAGCCCUUGGGAUAGCAAUAUGUCUUCGGCAGACGGAAGAGUAACGCGUGGGAACGUGCCUUUUGGUUCGGAACAACUGAUGGAAACUUCGGCUAAUCCCGGAUAAGCUCUUACGGAUACCGAUUUAUCGCCGAAAGAUCGGCCCGCGUCUGAUUAACUAGUUGGUGAGGUAAUGGCUCACCAAGGCGACGAUCAGUAGCUGGUCUGAGAGGAUGAUCAGCCACAUUGGGACUGACACACGGCCCAAACUCCUACGGGAGGCAGCAGUGGGCAAUAUUGGACAAUGGGCGCAAGCCUGAUCCACCCAUGCCGCGUGAGUGAUGAAGGCCCUACGGUUGUCAAGCUCUUUUGUGCGGGAAGAUAAUGACGGUACCGCACGAAUAAGCCCCGGCUAACUUCGUGCCAGCAGCCGCGUUAAUACCAAGGGAGCUAGCGUUGCUCGGAAUCACUGGCCGUAAAGGGUGCGUAGGCGGCUCUUUAAGUCAGGCGUGAAAUCCUGGAGCUCAACUCCAGAACUGCCUUUGAUACUGAAGAUCUUGAAUUCGGUAGAGGUGUAUGCAACUGACCGUGCACCGGUGACAUUCUGAAAUAUUCGCAAGAACACCAACGGGCGAAGGCCGGCUCACUGGCCCCAUACUGACGCUGAUGCACGAAAGCGUGAGGAGCAAACCGAAUUAUAUACCCUGGUAGUCCAUUCCGGAAAACGAUGAAGCCUGCCGCUCAUGAGUUACUCCCCAAUGGCGGAUCUAACA